GACGGAGGAUGCAAGCGUUAUCCGGAAUGAUUGGGCGUAAAGCGUCCGCAGGUGGCAGUUCAAGUCUGCUGUCAAAGACCGGGGCUUAACUUCGGAAAGGCAGUGGAAACUGAACAGCUAGAGUACGGUAGGGGCAGAGGGAAUUCCUGGUGUAGCGGUGAAAUGCGUAGAGAUCAGGAAGAACAUCGGUGGCGAAGGCGCUCUGCUGGACCGUAACUGACACUCAGGGACGAAAGCUAGGGGAGCGAAUGGG
rnacentral:rRNA from 1 species